rnacentral:rRNA from 1 species
AUUGAACGCUGGCGGCAGGCCUAACACAUGCAAGUCGCACGAGUGGCGGACGGGUGAGUAAUGUCUGGGAAACUGCCUGAUGGAGGGGGAUCACUACUGGAAACGGUAGCUAAUACCGCAUACCAUCAGAUGUGCCCAGAUGGGAUUAGCUAGUUGGUGGGGUAACGGCUCACCAAGGCGACGAUCCCUAGCUGGUCUGAGAGGAUGACAAGCCAGACAGGAACGGAGAGACGGUCCAGACGACUACGGGAGGCAGCAGUGGGGAAUAGUGCACAAUGGGCGCAAGCCUGAUGCAGCCAUGACGCGUGUAUGAAGAAGGCCGUGGGGUUGUAAAGUACUUUCAGCGGGGGGGCGUUACCCGCAGAAGAAGCACCGGCUAACUCCGUGCCAGCAGCCGCGGUAAUUC